rnacentral:rRNA from 1 species
AUCAAAUCCCUAGCGGCAACCAUCGAUCCCCUUCGGGCCUGGCCACAUCUCCUUCUCUUUCCCCUGCCUCCUUCUCCAGCACAGGCCGCCGCCACGGCCAGGCUGGCGUGGGGCGCGCCACCAGCUCCACUUCGCCGCCGCACCUCCGCACUCCAUCCAUCCAUUCGCUGCACCGUGACCCAUCCACCAUAACUACCACGAGUCCCUUGCUGCACCUCACGCCACCAAUCUGAAUCUCUUCUUCCUUCUUGCUGCUGUUCAUCCCAAUCUCGCCGCUGUUCAUCUUUGCUACUGCCCGCAGCUCUCUUCGUCUCUCUCAAACUUGUUGAUGUCGAUGCCCUCAACCUCCUGCUGCUCCUCUCUCCUUGCGCCCCUGCUGUUGCCCCUUCUACCCCUACCUUGCUGCUGCUCUGCUUCUUUUCCAUCCCCACGUUGCUGCUGCUCCUUCUCUCUAUGCCCAUGCUGCUGCUUCUUUCCCAAUCUUGCAAUUGCCCUUCUGCAUCUCCAACUUGCUGCUGCUCCUCUGAACCUCUUCUCCUCCUAGUGUUGCUUCUAUCUUGCCGCUUCCCUGUAGCGGUUCCUUUCCUUCACCCGCUGCUCUCUUUGUGUGUGUGUGUGUGUUCGUGUGUGUGAGAUUGUGUGUGUUUGUACUUCAUAAGUAUUGAUAGUGUGUAAUGAAGAGAUGUGUUAAUUCCAGGGACAUGUAGUUGUUCUUAUAAUUUUGUUGAUCAGUGAGAAUUGGUAUUGUUGCUUAUGACCUUCUAUUUCUAUGUAUGAGAUCUAGCCAAACCUGUCAUUUAUAUAUUGUACUUGCUGAAUAGAGUUUAGUUUUCAGUACCUGUUUUAGCUCUAGUACUCGUGACAUAUAUGUUCGUGAUAUAUGUUUCAUGUGGUUUCGUAUUGCUGUUAUGUUGAUCAUUUUAGUGCUAGUACUGUGUCUUGUGUAAUCCAAACCAUAUAUGAUUUGUGUGUGUGACUAAUUGUCAGCUAGUAGAUUUUAAUAAUUCAUAUUGUUUCUUGUGAAUUUUCUAUCGAUGUUACUCUCUGUAGAAGUGAGAUGUAUGAACAUUUAAUUUCCAGUCUCCGUGUUAACGAUGUUUGUGUGAA